CUCUUCAGCGGGCAUUUGCAGAAAUGCGACGGACAUUCAUACAGGGUAAAGGGUGAUUUAUAGUCGUGCGUAGGUCCUACGGCGUAGCAGCGACGGCGUAGGUUCCGCGUCGGUUUUCAUUUAUACUUGUGCGUCGCCGUCCGCGUCGACGUGCAAACACACGCGAAACCGCUGGUUGGCAGUAAUCACGCGUGUAACCACAGUAGCAGCAGAAGUCGUCAGAGAAGAAGAAGCUAAGCAAGUUAACCCACAAACGAAGAAGAAAUAGCAACUUGUUGUGUAUAAUUUGAGAAGACCAGCAAUGAUGGAAGUAAAUAAACAGCGACUUAUGUUGCAGUUUGAGUUAAAUCACUCCUCAACUUGGCUCAUCUUUGUUUUCACCGUCUCAACCGGAAAUACCUAUGACGCAGUUUUUUUACCUGACGGGAGGGGUUCUGGUGGACCAAUCACAGAGCUUGCGGUCCGCGUAGAGCCGACGCGCUGUUAGGAAUUUUGUGAGGUGCGCGUCCUACGGCGUAGCAGCUACGGCGUAGGUUCCGCGUCGGUUUUCAUUUAUACUUGUGCGUCGCCGUCCGCGUCGACGUGCAAACACACGCGAAACCGCGGGUUGGCAGUAAUCACGCGUGUAACCACAGUAGCAGCAGAAGUCGUCAGAGAAGAAGAAGCUAAGCAAGUUAACCCACAAACGAAGAAGAAAUAGCAACUUGUUGUGUAUAAUUUGAGAAGACCAGCAAUGAUGGAAGUAAAUAAACAGCGACUUAUGUUGCAGUUUGAGUUAAAUCACUCCUCAACUUGGCUUAUCUUUGUUUUCACCGUCUCAACCGGAAAUACCUAUGACGCAGUUUUUUUACCUGACGGGAGGGGUUCUGGUGGACCAAUCACAGAGCUUGCGGUCCGCGUAGAGCCGACGCGCUGUUAGGAAUUUUGUGAGGUGCGCGUCAGGCUACGCAGAGCUACGCACAGGCUACGGAUAGCCUACGCCGUAGCUACGGCGUAGCACCUACGCACGACUAUAAAUCGCCCUUAAGUCACA